rnacentral:rRNA from 1 species
AGUGAACGCUGGCGGUAGGCCUAACACAUGCAAGUCGAACGGCAGCACAGUAAGAGCUUGCUCUUACGGGUGGCGAGUGGCGGACGGGUGAGGAAUACAUCGGAAUCUACUUUUUCGUGGGGGAUAACGUAGGGAAACUUACGCUAAUACCGCAUACGACCUACGGGUGAAAGCAGGGGAUCUUCGGACCUUGCGCGAUUGAAUGAGCCGAUGUCGGAUUAGCUAGUUGGCGGGGUAAAGGCCCACCAAGGCGACGAUCCGUAGCUGGUCUGAGAGGAUGAUCAGCCACACUGGAACUGAGACCCGGUCCAGACUCCUACGGGAGGCAGCAGUGGGGAAUAUUGGACAAUGGGCGCAAGCCGGAUCCAGCCAUACCGCGUGGGUGAAGAAGGCCUUCGGGUUGUAAAGCCCUUUUGUUGGGAAAGAAAAGCAGCAGGUUAAUACCCCGCUGUUCUGACGGUACCCAAAGAAUAAGCACCGGCUAACUUCGUG